rnacentral:rRNA from 1 species
UACGGAGGGUGCGAGCGUUGUUCGGAAUCACUGGGCGUAAAGCGCGUGUAGGCGGCCCACUAAGUCUGAUGUGAAAUCUCACAGCUUAACUGUGAAACUGCAUUGGAUACUAUUCGGCUAGAGAGUUGGAGGGGGGACUGGAAUUCUUGGUGUAGCAGUGAAAUGCGUAGAUAUCAAGAGGAACACCAGUGGCGAAGGCGAGUCCCUGGACAACUUCUGACGCUGAGGCACGAAAGCUAGGGGAGCAAACAGG